rnacentral:rRNA from 1 species
GACGAACGCUGGCGGCAUGCCUAAUACAUGCAAGUCGAGCGAACAGAUGAAGUGCUUGCACUUCUGACGUUAGCGGCGAACGGGUGAGUAACACGUAAGGAAUCUACCUAUAAGCGUGGGAUAACAUUCGGAAACGGGUGCUAAUACCGCAUAAUAUCUUCUUCCGCAUGGAAGAAGAUUGAAAGACGGCUCUGCUGUCACUUAUAGAUGACCUUGCGGUGCAUUGGUUAGUUGGUGGGGUAACGGCCUACCAAGACGAGGAUGCAUAGCCGACCUGAGAGGGUGAUCGGCCACAUUGUGACUGAGACACGGCCCAAACUCCUACGGGAGGCAGCAGUAGGGAAUCUUCCGCAAUGGGCGAAAGCCUGACGGAGCAAUGCCGCGUGAGUGAAGAAGGCCUUCGGGUCGUAAAACUCUGUUAUAAGAGAAGAACAAAUUGUAGAGUAACUGCUACAGUCUUGACGGUAUCUUAUCAGAAAGCCACGGCUAACUACGUG